rnacentral:rRNA from 1 species
GACGAACGCUGGCGGCGUGCUUAACACAUGCAAGUCGAGCGGUAAGGCCCUUUCGGGGGUACACGAGCGGCGAACGGGUGAGUAACACGUGGGUGACCUGCCCUCAGCUCUGGGAUAAGCCUGGGAAACCGGGUCUAAUACUGGAUAUGACUCCAUGGCGCAUGUUGUGGGGUGGAAAGCCUUGUGCGGCUGAGGAUGGGCCCGCGGCCUAUCAGCUUGUUGGUGGGGUGAUGGCCUACCAAGGCGACGACGGGUAGCCGGCCUGAGAGGGCGACCGGCCACACUGGGACUGAGACACGGCCCAGACUCCUACGGGAGGCAGCAGUGGGGAACCUUGCGCAAUGGGCGAAAGCCUGACGCAGCGACGCCGCGUGAGGGAUGACGGCCU